AUUCCAUUACUCAAAGAUUCUCUUCUCUCAAAUGAGUAUUUAUCCUUCUUAUCUAUCUUCCUUCCAUCACGUAUUGGUAGUGAUAUAGGUUAGCAAUUACCAUAUGUCAGGUACUAUCCUGACCUAUUUAGCAAGCAUUGGCGUUGUCCCCAGCUUAUGGAUGAGGAGGCCAAGAGAGAGAGUGGGUAAUUUGUGUUGAGACCCACAGGAGGUAGGUGACAGUCAGGAUUUGAAGCAGCCAUUCAGCUCUUGGCUCAUACCCUCAGAGUAUAUACUGUUUGGUUCUGCCAUGCAUAGAAUACAUACUAGAUACUGUUCUGGGAAAAUGAAUAUUCAAAAAGAACAUGAGGCAGGUGAAACCCACCAAAGAUGGGGUUAUUGACAAUGCAUUGCACACACUUAUCUCACUCGUCUACUAGAAAAACAAGGUAUGAAGCGGUGAGUUGGCAUACACCUGAAGUCACAGCACUUGGGAGGCUGAGGCAGGAAGAUUGCAAGUUGAGGUCAGCCUGGGCUACAUGGUGAGAGCAUGUCUCAAAAACAAAGCAUGGCUUUAUCUUCCCAGUUUCUAUGACUCGAGUGAUUCUAGGUGAGCUUCAAAACUAAGAAUGGUCAACUCCCUUGCCAUGUCCUUUAAUACAUGACAAUAAUGAAGAGUGUGGCAGAUUCAUUGGGUCUGUGUUUUCUGUAUGCCCAUGUUCUACACCCCUUUGUCUAUAGUCCAAUUUAAAAGAUACUGUUAUGUUCACUCAUGAGAAAACCACCAACAUACUCUGCAUGUUCUUGAGCCAGCAACAUAGGCACAUAAGCACUUAGUGUAAAACCAAAGCCUAGGCAUCUUUGGCCAAGUGAUAACCAGAUGCUUGGUGUUCACUCCAGGCUACUGUCCAGCUCCUGGGCUAAUUACAUCUACCCUUGCACUCAGAAUGGGAACCUAUGGCGCUGAGUGAGCACUGGUGUCUGUCUCUGUCAUGCUCCCUUUUUCUUUAGUUAUUUUCCACAUAGGAUCUCAUGCUCAGGGCUAUUAUGAACCUCCUGUCUAACUUCUCCCGUGGAGCUGGAAUCGCAUCAGUACACAUCAGUACACUUUUCUUAUUGAUUGAGAUAGGAUCUUACUAACUUUUUACCCAAACUGCCCUUGAACCCUAAUCCUUCCAGUCUCUAUCUUCUGAGUAUCUAGUUAUAGGCUUGAGCCAACACAUCCAGCUAACACAAGUCUUCCAACAUGUUGUGCUUAAAUAUUGUAUUAAAUACCAAUUAAUAGCAUAGGAUUGAGGAAUCUCUGUAUUUUUGUCUUUCAAAAGAAUCAACUCAAAGCUGGAUGCCAUGGCUCACACCUUGUAGCUCUAGCUACUCAGAAGGCUGAGAUCUGAGAAUAUGGUUCAAAAUCAGCCCAUAAGACAAGAACGUCC